rnacentral:rRNA from 1 species
UGGGGAAUUUUGGACAAUGGGGGAAACCCUGAUCCAGCCAUCCCGCGUGUGCGAUGAAGGCCUUCGGGUUGUAAAGCACUUUUGGCAGGAAAGAAACGUCAUGGGUUAAUACCCCGUGAAACUGACGGUACCUGCAGAAUAAGCACCGGCUAACUACGUGCCAGCAGCCGCGGUAAUACGUAGGGUGCAAGCGUUAAUCGGAAUUACUGGGCGUAAAGCGUGCGCAGGCGGUUCGGAAAGAAAGAUGUGAAAUCCCAGAGCUCAACUUUGGAACUGCAUUAUUAACUACCGGGCUAGAGUGUGUCAGAGGGAGGUGGAAUUCAGCGUGUAGCAGUGAAAUGCGUAGAUAUGCGGAGGAACACCGAUGGCGAAGGCAGCCUCCUGGGAUAACACUGACGCUCAUGCACGAAAGCGUGGGGAGCAAACAGG